AGUGGCGCACGGGUGAGUAACACGUGACUAACCUACCCUUGAGCGGGGGAUAACCUAGGGAAACCUGGGCUAAUACCGCAUAAUACCUACGGGUCAAAGCGAGCAAUCGCACUUAAGGAGGGGGUCGCGGCAGAUUAGCUAGUUGGUGAGGUAAUGGCUCACCAAGGCGAUGAUCUGUAUCCGGCCUGAGAGGGCGCACGGACACACUGGAACUGAAACACGGUCCAGACUCCUACGGGAGGCAGCAGUGGGGAAUUUUGCGCAAUGGGGGAAACCCUGACGCAGCAACGCCGCGUGAAGGAUGAAAUCCCUUGGGAUGUAAACUCCUUUCGAUCGGGACGAUAAUGACGGUACCGGAAGAAGAAGCCCCGGCUAACUUCGUGCCAGCAGCCGCGGUAAUACGAGGGGGGCAAGCGUUGUUCGGAAUUAUUGGGCGUAAAGGGUGCGUAGGCGGUCUGACAAGUCUGAUGUGAAAUCUAUGGGCUCAACCCAUAGUCUGCAUCGGA
rnacentral:rRNA from 1 species